GACGAACGCUGGCGGCGUGCCUAAUACAUGCAAGUCGAACGCAGUGGGGACGGGUGAGUAACACGUGGGUAACCUCCCAUCAGAGGGGAUAACACUUGGAAACAGGUGCUAAACCGAUACUGAUGGAUGGACCCGCGGUGCAUUAGCUUGUUGGUGAGGUCACGGCUCACCAAGGCCACGAUGCAUAGCCGGGCUGGGAGGGUGAUCGGGCAAACUGGGAAUGGGACACGGCCCAGACUCCUACGGGAGGCAGCAGUAGGGAAUCUUCGGCAAUGGACGAAAGGCUGGACGAGCAACGCCGCGGGAGUGAAGAAGGUUUUCGGAUCGUAAAGCUCUGUUGUUAAGGAAGCGGUACUUAACCAGAAAGGGACGGCUAACUACGUGCCAGCAGCCGCGGUAAUUC
rnacentral:rRNA from 1 species